GAAAUGCUGGAGAAAGGAUACAGCGGUGGUGUAGCUCUGACUCUGGCAGUAGUGAAUGACAGCUGAUAAUGAGAUGUUUUGAUACUGAAGGAACUAGGAAGCACUACCUUGGUUUCAUCAAAACACUUAUUUAUAAGCAUGGCAGGACAACUACAUCAUUCAUCAUUGUUUUCAUCAGAGAUGAAAGAGCUGAAAUAUGACUCAUCAUUCAUUCUGGAGAAUAUCCCCAAGGGCCCCAAACAUGAUGUGCUGAGAGACUUCUUCACCCGCUCUAAGCCCUCCCUCCUGAGCUUACCACCUGCGCAGGUAAUUCAGAGUAAAUUUCCACUGCCUCUGCUGUUAAGAGUCUGUCAUCGGCACUCUUAA